rnacentral:lncRNA from 1 species
GAAAGAUUUCUUAGACUCUCAAGGUCUGGCAGUAGUGCUCUUUUAUUCAGAGAAUAGCAUGGAGUAGCAUGGGGACAGGACCCAUGGGCAGUAAGAGCUGCAAUGGGUUAAGGGUAGGGCUAAAUUUAUAAGGCAUAGGUAUGUGAGUUAUCUCUUUACAAGACAAAGGAAAAAUCAUGUUAAAAAAAGUCAUUAAAAUGGUAUCAGUGCAGGUGGGGUCUGGUUAUCGGGUGGUCCUAUAACGUUGCAUAGGAAUCAGGUCGGAUUAAGUCAGGAUGUCCUCUGCUUCCCGGAGGAUGAUAUAGAUCGGUGUGUAGGACAGGACGCCUUGGGCCUUUCUCCCAUCAUAAAAUGCCCCCUGAACCCAUUUGGCCCCGAAAUCCUUUGGGGAUAUGGACGAUGGUCAGUCUUCUGUAACUACUUCCGGCUGCACAAGGUCGUAGAGCCGUCCCUAAAUGGGGCCACAGGGGUACAAGGCAGGAAGUUCAGCAGAUGAGAAGCUUGCGCCCGUGGAGUCCAAGGCUGACAAGGUAUACAGAUCCUCUGGAGACGAGAGAAUCAUUUGACGGGAAGUGGUCCAGGAAGUGAAACUUUGUUGACAUGUAAGAUUGCCUGAAUCUCUGUAAACAACCAGGCCAAUAUUUCCAAGUGGCUUUAUUCCAGAAGCUCUUAAUUUUGGCCAUACCAUCCGGAGGUAAAAUACCACACAAUAUAACAUAUAUAGACACACAUACACUGAAUCUCCACAGCUACUGUUUUAAAAAUUACUGCUAAAGCUCACCAGUUAUGAAUCCAAACUUUCUUUUGAGCCUUUUUACUAAUAUUUGUGGAGAAGACAUUUAAGAUGCUAGAUUUUUUGGCAAGGGCACACUUAUGGCCGUUUUUUUCCUUUUUUUUCUUCAGUCUUAGGAAUUAGUGA